CGCACAUUGCGCCUGCCAGUAUUCUGGCAGGCAUGCCUGUUCGAGCGUCAUUUCAACCCCUCAGGCCCUGGUGCCUGGCGUCGGGGCUCUUCCCUCGCGGGAAGCCCCUAGAGACAGUGGCGGACCCGCCGCGGCUCCGAGCGCAGUAGUAACAUUCUCGCUUAGGAGGUUCGCGGAGGGGCUCCCGGCCGUAAAACCCAGCCCCUAAGAAGGCUGACUUCUCAAGGUUGACCUCGGAUCAGGUAGGAAUACCCGCUGAACUUAA
rnacentral:misc_RNA from 1 species